GUUCUCCUCGAAAUAGCUUUAGGGCUAGCCUUGUUUAGUAGCAUGUGGAGGUAAAGCACUGAAUAUGUGAGGGUUCUUACCAGAAUACCGAUCAUUAUCAAACUCUGAAUGCCAUGUGUGUAAGAACAGGAGUCAGACAGUGACAGCUAAGUGCCAUUGUCAAAAGGGAAAGAGCCCAGACCAACAGCUAAGGUCCCAAAAUUGUAGUUAAGUGGAAAAGGAUGUGGGAAUUCAUAGACAACCAGGAUGUUGGCUCAGAAGCAGCCAUUCAUUUAAAGAGUGCGUAAAAGCUCACUGGUCGAAGUAGGCCUGCGCCGAAAAUUACCGGGGCUAAACUACAUACCGAAGCUUUGGAUUUGGUACGUAAAGUAUUAAGUGGUAGAGGAGCGUUGUAUAAAGAUUGAAGCUAUACUGAAAAGAGUAGUGGACGAUAUACAAGAGAGAAUGCCGGAAUAAGUAGCGAGAGCACAGUGAGAAUCUGUGCCGCCGAAAAUCUAAGGUUUCCUGGGGAAGGUUCGUCCGCCCAGGGUAAGUCGGGACCUAAGACGAGGCUAAAGCAGCGUAGUCGAUGGAAAGCAGGUAAAAGAUUCCUGCACUACCGAAAUGCGAUAUACAAUAUAUCAUGACGCAUCAGAAGAGUCUAAGCGAGCAAAUGGAAAAGUUCGUACCGCAAGGUGGAGUGAAAAAUAGUAACGAAGUAGAUAAAUCAGGUGACAAGAAAAGUGAUAUAGGAGCAUAGAGGUACUCGUACCGUAAACCGACACAGGUAGGAAGAAAGAGAAUUUUCAGGCGAACGAGAGAAUCAUUGUUAAGGAACUCGGCAAAUUAACCCCGUAACUUAGGGAUAAGGGGAGCCAAUAGCGAUAUUGGUCGCAGAGAAAUGGCCCAAGCAACUGUUUAGCAAAAACACAGGUUUCUGCCAAAUCGAAAGAUGAAGUAUAGGAGCUGACGCCUGCCCAGUGCUGGAAGGUCAAGGGGAAGAGUAAACGUUUCGAUGUGAAGCUCUGAACUUAAGCCCCAGUGAACGGCGGCCGUAACUAUAACGGUCCUAAGGUAGCGAAAUUCCUUGUCAGGUAAGUUCUGACCCGCACGAAAGGCGUAAUGAUUUGGGCACUGUCUCGACAAUGAACUCGGCGAAAUUGUAGUACUAGUGAAGAUGCUAGUUACCUGUGAUAAGACAGAAAGACCCCAUGGAGCUUUACUGUAGCUUGAUAUUGAGACUAGGUAAGAGAUGUACAGAAUAGAUGGGAGACUAUGAGAUAAGGACGCCAGUUCUUAAGGAGUCACCUUUGGGAUACCAUCCUUCUUUUACUUGGAAUCUAACUAGUUGCCAUGAACUGGUAAUAGGACAGUGUCAGGUGGGCAGUUUGACUGGGGCGGUCGCCUCCUAAAGAGUAACGGAGGCGUUCAAAGGUCAGCUUAACACGGUCAGAAAUCGUGUGAUAGAGUGCAAAGGCGUAAGCUGGCUUGACUGCAAGACUGACAGGUCGAGCAGACGCGAAAGCGGGACUUAGUGACCCGAUGGUUGUGAGUGGAAAUGCCAGAGCUCAACGGAUAAAAGUUACCCUGGGGAUAACA
rnacentral:rRNA from 1 species